AGUUUUUAGUAUAUAU
rnacentral:sRNA from 1 species